GAUGAACGCUGGCGGCGUGCCUAACACAUGCAAGUCGAACGAAAGGACGAGAAGCUUGCUUGCCUGAUGUUAGCGGCGGACGGGUGAGUAACACGUGGAUAACCAACCUAUAAGACUGGGAUAACUACGGGAGACCGGAUCUAACAAUAGAUGAUAUGUUGAACCGGAUGGUUCAAAAGAGAAAGACGGCCUUGGUGUCACUAAUAGAUGGUUCCGGGCUGGAUUAGUUAGUUGGUAAGGUAACGGCCUACCAAGGCUACGAUGCGUAGCCGACCUGAGAGGCUGAUCGGCCACACUGGAACUGAGACACGGUCCAGACUCCUACGGGAGGCAGCAGUAGGGAAUCUUCGGCAAUGGGCGAAAGCCUGACCCAGCAACGCCGCGUGAGUGAUGAAGGUCUUCGGUUCGUAAAGCUCUUUUGUUGGGAAAGAACAGAUGUGUAAUAAAACGACGACGUCUUGACGGUACCUAAUCAAAAAGCCCCGGCUAACUACGUG
rnacentral:rRNA from 1 species